rnacentral:rRNA from 1 species
UACGGGGGGUGCGAGCGUUGUCCGGAAUCACUGGACGUAAAGGGCGCGUAGGUGGCGUGAUAAGGGUGUGGUGAAAGCCCGGGGCUCAACCCCGGGUCUGCCAUGCCGACUGUCAGGCUAGAGUACUGUAGGGGCAGGCGGAAUUCCGGGUGUAGCGGUGGAAUGCGUAGAGAUCCGGAGGAAGACCGGUGGCGAAGGCGGCCUGCUGGGCAGUUACUGACACUGAGGCGCGACAGCGUGGGGAGCAAACAGG